GCCCCGGCUAACUACGUGCCAGCAGCCGCGGUAAUACGUAGGGGGCGAGCGUUGUCCGGAAUUAUUGGGCGUAAAGAGUACGUAGGCGGUAUGAUAAGUUAGGAGUAAAAGGCACCGGCUCAACCGGCGUAAGCUUUUAAAACUGUCAUACUUGAGACAUUGAGGGGAAAGUGGAAUUUCUAGUGUAGCGGUGAAAUGCGCAGAUAUUAGGAAGAAUACCAGAGGCGAAAGCGACUUUCUAGCGAUGAUCUGACGCUGAGGUACGAAAGCGUGGGAAGCAAACAGGAUUAGAUACCCUGGUAGUCCACGCCGUAAACGAUGAGUGUUAGAUGUCCGAGGUAAACUUGGGUGUCACAAGCCAACGCGAUAAACACUCCGCCUGGGGAGUACGUACGCA
rnacentral:rRNA from 1 species